CAUCUCACGUUGAAACAUCGGUUCCCCAUACGAACACCGAAGUUAAGCAAUGUCGAGCCUGGUUGGUGCAUAGAUGGGUGACCGCGUAUGAAUACCAGGUGCUGCAAG